UGCCCGGGACCGCCGACCAGGUCCGCGCCUGCCUCCUCUGCCGCGGCUCUGCCCCGGCAGGGGAGACGAGGAGGGCAGGAUGGGUGGGGGCCGGCGAGCUGCGCCUUCGUCUUCCCGCCCCCUCCUCGCCGUCUGGCCACAUCCCGCCAGCUCACGGGGCGAACUUGGAAGAAAAAGAAGCAGAACCAGAGGGUUAAAAUGACAAGCCCAAGAUAACAAAACUGGCUAAUGGCAGAUUUUGGAAGCAUGUGCUAGUGGCAGACAACCACGCUUUCUUUGCUGCUCCUCGCAUCAAGCAGUGGAGUUGAUUUCUCCAUCUGCUUUUAUCUGGACUGGACCUGUGAGCUGCUUGGACAGAGAGAAUGUGGUAGAAGUGACUGUGCAGGCUCUGACCCCGGGUCUCAAGACCUGGAGGCUUCUGUUCCUGCUUUCUGGGAGCCCUGCUGCCAUGUGAACAAGCCCGAGCUAGCCUCCUGGAGAAUGGGCCACACGUGGAGCAGAGACAGACAGUCCAGGUGAGGCCCUCGUGGACCAACCAGCUCACUAGCGGCCAGAGAGGCCGUCCUUGACUUUCCAACCCCAGAUCAGCCACCAACUCACUGCAGAGGUCAGACA